rnacentral:rRNA from 1 species
UACAGAGGGGGCAAGCGUUGUUCGGAAUUACUGGGCGUAAAGGGCGCGUAGGCGGCCUUCUAAGUCAGACGUGAAAUCCCUCGGCUCAACCGGGGAACUGCGUCUGAUACUGGGAGGCUUGAAUCCGGGAGAGGAAUGCGGAAUUCCAGGUGUAGCGGUGAAAUGCGUAGAUAUCUGGAGGAACACCGGUGGCGAAGGCGGCAUUCUGGACCGGCAUUGACACUGAGGCGCGAAAGCCAGGGGAGCAAACGGG